rnacentral:rRNA from 1 species
AGAGUUUGAUCCUGGCUCAGAUUGAACGCUGGCGGUAUGCUUAACACAUGCAAGUCGAACGAUGAGAAAGAGCUUGCUCUUUCGAUUAGUGGCGGACGGGUGCGUAACGCGUAGGAAUCUGCCUAUUAGUGGGGGACAACUUAGGGAAACUUAAGCUAAUACCGCAUACGCCCUACGGGGGAAAGGAGGGGAUCGCAAGACCUUUCGCUAAUAGAUGAGCCUGCGUAGGAUUAGCUAGUUGGUGGGGUAAAGGCCUACCAAGGCAACGAUCCUUAGCUGGUCUGAGAGGACGAUCAGCCACACUGGGACUGAGACACGGACCAGACUCCUACGGGAGGCAGCAGUGAGGAAUAUUGGUCAAUGGGCGCAAGCCUGAACCAGCCAUCCCGCGUGAAGGAUGAAGGCCCUAUGGGUCGUAAACUUCUUUUAUACACCAAGAAAAACACCCACGUGUGGGUGCCCGACGGUAGUGUAUGAAUAAGCAUCGGCUAACUCCGUGCCAGCAGCCGCGGUAAUACGGAGGAUGCAAGCGUUAUCCGGAUUCAUUGGGUUUAAAGGGUGCGUAGGCGGCUCUUUAAGUCAGUGGUGAAAUCUUGCCGCUUAACGGUAAAAUUGCCAUUGAUACUGAAGAGCUUGAGUACAUUUGAGGUAAGCGGAAUGUGUAGUGUAGCGGUGAAAUGCUUAGAUAUUACACAGAACACCAAUUGCGAAGGCAGCUUACUAAACUGUUACUGACGCUGAUGCACGAAAGCGUGGGGAGCGAACAGGAUUAGAUACCCUGGUAGUCC